UGGGGAAUAUUGGACAAUGGGCGAAAGCCUGAUCCGGCAAUGCCGCGUGAGUGAUGAAGGCCUUAGGGUUGUAAAGCUCUUUUAGCAGGGAAGAUAAUGACGGUACCUGCAGAAAAAGCCCCGGCUAACUCCGUGCCAGCAGCCGCGGUAAGACGGAGGGGGCUAGCGUUGUUCGGAAUUACUGGGCGUAAAGAGCGCGUAGGCGGCUUAAUAAGUUGGGAGUGAAAGCCCGGGGCUUAACCUCGGAACUGCUUCCAAAACUGUUGAGCUAGAGUAUGGUAGAGGAUGAUGGAAUUCCUAGUGUAGAGGUGAAAUUCUUAGAUAUUAGGAGGAACACCGGUGGCGAAGGCGGUCAUCUGGGCCAUUACUGACGCUGAGGCGCGAAAGCGUGGGGAGCAAA
rnacentral:rRNA from 1 species